CKGCGCGKCUACACAUGCAGUCGACGAUGAAGCCCUUCGGGGUGGAUUAGUGGCGAACGGGUGAGUAACACGUGGGCAAUCUGCCCUUCACUCUGGGACAAGCCCUGGAAACGGGGUCUAAUACCGGAUAACACCGGCUUCCGCAUGGGAGCUGGUUGAAAGCUCCGGCGGUGAAGGAUGAGCCCGCGGCCUAUCAGCUUGUUGGUGGGGUAAUGGCCCACCAAGGCGACGACGGGUAGCCGGCCUGAGAGGGCGACCGGCCACACUGGGACUGAGACACGGCCCAGACUCCUACGGGAGGCAGCAGUGGGGAAUAUUGCACAAUGGGCGAAAGCCUGAUGCAGCGACGCCGCGKGRGGGAUGACGGCCUUCGGGUUGUAAACCYYUUUCAGCAGGGAAGAAGCGAAAGUGACGGUACCKGCRGAAGAAGCGCCGGCUAACUACGUGCCAGCAGCCGCGGUAAUACGURGGSCGCAAGCGUUGUCCGGAAUUAUKGGGCGUAAAGAGCUCGUAGGGCGGCUUGUCACGUCGGGUGUGAAAGCCCGGGGCUUAACCCSGGGUYCUGCAUCCRAWACGGGCRGGYUAGAGUGKGGUAGGGGAGAUCGGAAUUCCUGGUGUAGCGRAAAARGGGRRAAAAAAA
rnacentral:rRNA from 1 species